rnacentral:rRNA from 1 species
UAGGGAAUCUUCCACAAUGGACGAAAGUCUGAUGGAGCAACGCCGCGUGAGUGAUGUAGGUUUUCGGAUCGUAAAACUCUGUUGUAAGGGAAGAACAAGUACGUUAGGAAAUGAACGUACCUUGACGGUACCUUAUUAGAAAGCCACGGCUAACUACGUGCCAGCAGCCGCGGUAAUACGUAGGUGGCAAGCGUUGUCCGGAUUUAUUGGGCGUAAAGCGCGCGCAGGCGGUUUCUUAAGUCUGAUGUGAAAGCCCACGGCUUAACCGUGGAGGGUCAUUGGAAACUGGGAGACUUGAGUGCAGAAGAGGAAAGUGGAAUUCCAAGUGUAGCGGUGAAAUGCGUAGAGAUUUGGAGGAACACCAGUGGCGAAGGCGACUUUCUGGUCUGCAACUGACGCUGAGGCGCGAAAGCAUGGGGAGCAAACAGG